GCAGCGGUCGGACACGAGGCUCCUUGCUCGACUUUCGAAUCCUCCCCACUCUCACCCUGAAUUCACCACCUUACUGCGUUCCAUCCCUACGAUGGCGACGCCCAGUGUCGAUUCAUGCGCAAUUUCAUCCCCAACUCGGAGAUUCAUCCUCCUAUGGACGCCUGUGUGCUCGUCGGAAAGUUGUUUUGUGAUAAAAACCAGUGUAUUAACGUAAAACUAACAUUAAGGAUAUGUUCGUGUAAUUAUUGACGAGACCUGAAAAUGGCUACAGAGAAGUGAAAAAUGAUCAGCUAAAUCUCACAACAAAAUCACGACUCCAAGCCUAAUAACGAACAGUACUAUUUGCCUAACAUGGUUUUCAAUGUCUUCAAAAUUGGAUCGCAUAAAAUGGUGUUAAGGGGAAG